ensembl:lncRNA
CAAUACUUAGGACACAAACACAUUGUACAGCUGAGAAAAACAUUUUCUUUCUUUAUAUCGUUAUUCUAUAAGUUUUAUUCUAUUUUUAAAUUUUUCUAUUUUUUCUUUACUUUUUAAACUUUUUUGUUGAAAACUAAGACACAAACACACAUUAGCCUAGGCCACACAGGGUCAGGAUCAUCAAUGUCACUGUCUUCCACCUUUACACCUUGUCCUACCAGAAGGUCUUCGGAGGCCAUCACGUGUAUGGAGCUGUCGUUCCCAUGAUAACAAUGCCUUCUUCUGGAUCACCUCCUGAAGGACCUGCCUGAGGCUCUUCUUGAGGAGGUGUCACUCUUGUCAGAAAUGUGUCCACGGUGCUUUGCUUGGUUUGUUUCUUUUUUCAUCACAGACUUGCUUGUAAGCAGAUAAUGCACCAUGAACAGUCCUCUCUACUCAUGAAAACCUUUUGGUGUUAGGGGGCCGUGUUUUCAGAUUUCUUAAGGAGCUUCUUGAGGUCUGCAACAGCUUCUGCUAAACCUUUCACUGUGAAUUUUCUUGGGGGUUCUUCUUCUUUUUCUUCUGCAGUUUCCUUUUUUCUUGCCUUUUCUUCAACUACGUGUUCCUGUUCCAGUUACAUUAACUCAGCAUUACUCACUUCCUCAGGAACCAUGUCUAGGAGUUCCUCAAUGUCAUUCUCAUCCACACUGAGGUUAAGGUUAUAAUCUUAUGGGACCAGCAUCUUAUAUGCAGCCAGUAGUUGACUGAAAUUUCAUCAUGAGAUGCAUGACUGUAAUGCUCUACACCCCUAUAUCCAAGGGAACUGCCUGCUGCCUUUCCCCUGGAUUUUCACAGCUCCCAAGACUUCCAGUGCAUCUUAAGACUCUGCAUUGAAGGAUGACAAGAGUUGAGUGUAUAGUUACCAUGAAAGUAAACUGGAUGCCAGGAAAGCAGCCUGAGAGGUUGAGUCAAGAAUAAGAGGACUGUGGACGCUUCCAUGAGGCCUGGCUCAAUCUCCCAGGGAAUUAAGAGGUCUAGUGUCAGGUCCCUGACAGCUCUGACCAAGAACAAAGAGGCUUCUCCUCCUGAGCCUAUUGGUGGAAUGAAAUCCGCAGGUCAGUCUCAAUGACAACUGUCCUUCAAAGUGCUCACUGUGACCACAAGAGUCUCUUGACCACUCUCUCACCUUGAAUUGAACCCUGGAACUGUGCCUCAGUGUUUGGAGAUAGCCAGUGUGUAGCAGCUGAGACCUCUUCAUUUAUUUGUACAUGUGGCUUGAUUUCUAGAAUAUUCUCUCUGUGAGCUGUUGAAGGUCUGUGAAUUAAGCUAUCUCUUCCUGCACUACAGAACAGCAUUAUAUCAAGCACACUUCCCUAGGGCAGCUUGGAUAAUGGGGCAGAAUGGCAGCGUAAUGUGAUGUCAUAGCAAUUCCUAACCAUUCCACAUCUGACUCACCCCAGUAAUGAGUCAAUCAGGUGUGUGGCUCUGCAACAGGAGCUGACACAGUGGAAAAUUGAGGCAAGAUGUUGCAAAAGAAAACCUAGGAGCUGUACUGGAGCAGGUGUUCAGGAAGACUAGCUGUUGACAGCUGUAGUUGAAGAGGCAUGGAGGCUGAAGUACCAGAUUGUGGAUCACUUGAUGAUCUUUGGACGUCUAAUUAUGACCACCUAUGUCACAAGCUGUUGAAAGGCUCACCUGUGACCACCCAGCUGGAGACAACAGACUGCCACCCCGCUGUGUUCACUGAGACAGAAGACCUACCUGCUGUUUCCAUCAAUCGCUGUGUCGACAGAGCUGUCUUGCGACUAUUGUAAAAAGGACAUUUCAAUCCUAUGUGAAACAUCCUCUCUGGGAGUAUAUAACCACUCUGUGUACCCACUUCUUUGGUGCCCUUUCUUCCUUCAGGAAGAAAGGCCCCGGGCCAUGGUCCUCAGAUUUCAGCUCAGAAUAAACUCACCCAAAUUUUCAU